rnacentral:rRNA from 1 species
GAUGAACGCUGGCGGCGUGCCUAAUACAUGCAAGUCGAACGGCAGCACAGAAGAGCUUGCUCUUUGGGUGGCGAGUGGCGGACGGGUGAGUAACACGUAGGAAUCUACCCAGUAGUGGGGGAUAACCUGGGGAAACCCAGGCUAAUACCGCAUACGCCCUGAGGGGGAAAGCGGGGGAUCUUCGGACCUCGCGCUAUUGGAUGAGCCUGCGUCGGAUUAGCUAGUUGGUGGGGUAAGGCCCACCAAGGCGACGAUCCGUAGCUGGUCUGAGAGGAUGACCAGUCACACCGGAACUGAGACACGGUCCGGACUCCUACGGGAGGCAGCAGUGGGGAAUAUUGGACAAUGGGCGCAAGCCUGAUCCAGCCAUGCCGCGUGGGUGAAGAAGGCC